UACAGAGGUCUCAAGCGUUGUUCGGAUUCAUUGGGCGUAAAGGGUGCGUAGGUGGCGAGGUAAGUCUGGUGUGAAAUCUCGGGGCUCAACCCCGAAACUGCACUGGAUACUGCCUUGCUCGAGUACUGGAGAGGAGAUUGGAAUUUACGGUGUAGCGGUGAAAUGCGUAGAUAUCGUAAGGAAGACCAGUGGCGAAGGCGGGUCUCUGGACAGUUCCUGACGCUGAGGCACGAAGGCCAGGGGAGCAAACGGG
rnacentral:rRNA from 1 species